rnacentral:rRNA from 1 species
CCUACGGGAGGCAGCAGUCGAGAAUCAUUCACAAUGGGGGAAACCCUGAUGGUGCGACGCCGCGUGGGGGAAUGAAGGUCUUCGGAUUGUAAACCCCUGUCAUGUGGGAGCAAAUUAAAAAGAUAGUACCACAAGAGGAAGAGACGGCUAACUCUGUGCCAGCAGCCGCGGUAAUACAGAGGUCUCAAGCGUUGUUCGGCAUUACUGGGCGUAAGGGGUGCGUAGGCUGUUUCGUAAGUCGUGUGUGAAAGGCGCGGGCUCAACCCGCGGACGGCACAUGAUACUGCGAGACUAGAGUAAUGGAGGGGGAACCGGAAUUCUCGGUGUAGCAGUGAAAUGCGUAGAUAUCGAGAGGAACACUCGUGGCGAAGGCGGGUUCCUGGACAUUAACUGACGCUGAGGCACGAAGGCCAGGGGAGCGAAAGGGAUUAGAUACCCCAGUAGUC